rnacentral:tmRNA from 1 species
CAUGCCGAGGGGGUAGCUGUCCUCGUAAAUCCAGCUGCAAAACUCUAGUUGCCAACGACGACAACUACGCUCCGGUCGCUCUCGCAGCCUAAAAACUGCGGUGCGUGACCUUCUGCCGACUUAGGCGGAGCCUCGAAACUGCUUGUGUCCAUGCUCGCAGCGUAGAGUCAUUAUCAUGGAAUCGCGCUGGGCGGCUGCCUGUCAGUCCGGCACUAGAACAAAACAGGCUGGUUCCCGGGUGCGCUUUGCACACCGUGCUGCUCGGGGAUGAGAUUCAACGGUGAGCUAAGCAUGUAG